CCGAACAUCCAGGAAAACAAAACCGGAAAAUAUCGAGGAAAAAUGUUCGGUCCCACGUUCCAAGUUCCUGGUAGCGAGUAGAUGAACAAUAACCUGACGUGUCUCGCUCACCGCUGCCUCAAUCCACUAUAUCUCCUCACACCAAUUAUUUACAUAUUUAUCUGUUUAUUUAAUGGCAAGAUGCGGGGAAGUAGUGAUGGUGAUGAUAGUAGUGGUGGUGAUGGUAGUGGUGACAGCUGGGUGGAGGAGAAUGGAGGGUAGGAAAGGUUAGUAGUAGUAGUAGUAGUAGUAGUAGUAGUAGUAGUAGUAGUAGUAGUAGUAGUAGUAGUAGUAGUAGUAGUAGUAGUCUUUAAAAGUGAUAAAGUUAAUAUGGUAUCUUUCUGCUUUCAGGGUUUUCGUUGUCUGUGGAAACCAACAAAACCUUCUUUAGUUUGCUACGAGAUGGCCAGCAGGUGUGUGUGUGUGUGUGUGUGUGUGUGUGUGUGUGUGUGUGUCGAUCAUUCAGUUAAUCUACACAUCUAUAUAUCCUACUAAUGCACAUACCUAUCUAUCUGUCUACCUACCUAUCUAUCUACCUAUCUAUCUAUCUAUCUAUCUAUCAGUUUGCCUACCUGUCUAAUCCGAUCCCACCCCCUGACUCUCUCUCUCUCUCUCUCUCUCUCUCUCUCUCUCUCUCUCUCUCUCUCUCUCUCUCUCUCUCUCUCCGUUUAGGUGUACGAGUGGCGUGACGGUGGCGGUGGGGUGGCUGUGGUGGUGUUGGAAAGCGUGGCAGGAGAUGUGGUGUCAGAGCGCCACUUCGCCACCAGUCAGCCCGGCCAGCAGUGGGCGUUACGGGCGUGGUUGGAGGCACUACAGCCAGGCAGGGUUGUGGUGGUGGUGGGGCAGGUGAAUAUACUACUUGUUGUUGCUGCUGUUCUUACUACUACUACUACUACUACUACUACUACUACUACUAUUACUACCACAACAAUUUCAUUACUACUUUCCAGUUUGGUUUCCUGAAUUAUUUGGAUGCCGAAGGAAUGGGCGCCCUCCAGACAGCGUUUGAUACCCGCUUAUUACCCCACGUGGCCCUGGGGGAGGCGUGGUCAUUGGUGGGCGUCGCGGCAGGGGCGGGGGUGCGUGGCAGGGCGUUGGCGGAGACUCUAAUCACGUGGGAACCUACGGUAGGAGGCGCAGAAGGCAGCCCACCCCUCCUAAUGGAUGUUUCUCUCUACUCGUUAGUGUCAGGUGAGCAAUGCAGAGGCGGGAACAAGGUCGUACCAAUGGAACAACAUGCAUUCUGCCAAGACUAUGACGGCUACUGUGACUUGUGUGCGUGUGUGUCACCCUUCCUGCCAUCAGAGGACAUGACCCCUCCUGGUUUCCCAAUGCGAGAAAACAUCCCCAUUGCAAUAGUAACAGCUAACAAACCCCACCACUUGUAUAGGUUGCUCAAGAAUCUGCGUUGGGUGGCCGGAGCUGGACAAACGGAAGUAGUGGUGGUGGUUGACGGACCUUAUAAGGAGACUAUUAGACUAUCAAGACUAUUCGGUCACCGUGUCAUCGUCCACACUCCCCAGGGCGCCCCCGGGGAGAACACCAGGUGAGGAAGAGGAGGAGGAGGAGGUGAUGGUGGUGUUGUAAUGAUAAAUAUAUGAGGGUAGUAGUAGUAGUAGUAGUAGUAGUAGUAGUUGUUGUUGUUGUUGUAGUCUUCCCAGGACAAACAAAAUUUAUUUUCUUCACAGGACAAACAGCAACAUCGCCUUUAGCCUCCAAGCCGCCCUAUCUCUGUGGCCUGCAGCAGAUAAGGUCAUUCUGCUGGAAGAUGACCUCCUGCUGGCCCCGGACUUGCUGAGGUCAGUGGAGGUCAGAGGAGGAGGAGGAGGAGGAGGAGGAGGAGGAGGAGGGAAGUGUGACAGUGUUGUGUAACUGAUACUGACAUUUCUAUUACAACCAUUACAACAACUACAAAAACAACAACAACAACAAUUACUACUACUACAACUACUACUACAACCACCACCAUCACCACCUUCAGGUACUUCCAUCAGGCUGCUUGGCUCUUAGACACCGACCCUUCCCUGUCGUUCGUCAGCGCCUUCGGCCAAAAUUCAUUUCCCAGCACGGCAGCUUGUCUAAAUACGUUACUGAGAGUCGAAAUGUACCCGCAGUAUGGUUGGAUGACCUCUAGGCGAUGGGUAGAAAGCGUUAUACCACUGUGGGUGCCUCCUGGGGUAAGUUGGUGUGUUUUGGGUGUGUUUUGGGUGUGUUUGGGUGUGUUUAUGUGUGUUUGGGUGUGUUUUGGGUGUGUCUGGGUGAGUUUGGGAGUGUUUUGGUGUGUUUUGGAGUGUUUUGGUGUGUUUGGGUGUGUUUGGGUGUGUUUGGGUGUGUUUGGGAGUAUUUGGGUGUGUUCUGGAUAUUUGCUGGUGUGUUCUGGGUGUGUUUGGGAGUGUUUUAGAAAGGGAAGGGGUACAAAAAAGGAAGAGGAGGAGGAGGAGGAGGAAAAAGAUGAUGAUAACGAUGAAAAGAAAACAAGAUAAGGAUUAGGAGGAGAAAAUAAUCAUACUGGCCUUUAUUGUAAAGCUAAUAUUAUCAUCUCUCUCUCUCUCUCUCUCUCUCUCUCUCUCUCUCUCUCUCUCUCUCUCUCUCUCUCUCUCUCUCUCUCUCUCUCUCUCUCUCCAGGGGGGCAGGGACUGGGACUGGUGGCUUUACACGGAGGGGCCCAGGGGGGGGAAGGAAGCCCUAGUGCCCGAGGUGUCAAGGACGGGCACGCGGGGGGGCGGGGGGCGCACAUGUGAGUGGGUGGGAGCAACACCUGUUCUUCAGCGGCAGACUAAUUAGCGACACCGCCUCACCUGUGCUUGCCGACUUACCCAGGCUGGUGGGCAAGAAUUACUCUGAUUGGCUGGACGGGGAGAUCCGUCACGCCAACAAGCUUCGCCUAUUGGCCCAUCCCUGCCAUACUCACCCCGUGCCAGCCAAUCAGACAGGUCCCUUCGUUCUAUUCCUCGGUGUUGUGAGUCGCGCGGACCCUCACAAUGCAUUCUUCCUGCUACAAGCGUGUCUCGGCACGGAUGACCAAGAGGUGAAGGAGCUAUAUCAGGGGGUGAUAAGAUUGAGAGUACGCCCUUUUUCUCCCACCCGCUCCCGCCGCGCCCGUGCAGACCACCUACAGUACGCCCACACCUGCGUGGAUCCCAGAGCCAUGCAGAGGAAGUUCUACGGGCGAGGCGAGGAGGAGAAGGAAGAGGAGGAGGAGGAGGAGGAGGAGGAGGGAAAAGUGCUGUAUCUCGUGGGCUGUCCUCUUUCUAAGUAUUGUAAACACUCCGCUGGCACAAGGGACUGGGUGGUGCCAACGCCGGCGGCACAGAAAGAGGCAAUGAAAAUAGCGUGGCGGAGGAGAAUGAACGGCACGAGGCGGCAUUAUAGGGUCCGCGUGGCUGCUGCAUCAUUACAAGAACAAUUUUCACUCAAUAACACAAGACGAAUACGGCCACCACCACCGCCACCACCACCACCACCACCACUGCUUCACUACCAAAGCUCUGAAAAUUAAAGAUUUGUGGAAUGUUUGCGAAAAGAUAGAUAAGUAAAUAAACAGAUAAAUAAAUAAACAAAUAGAGAGAGAGACAGAUAAGUAAAUAAAUCAGAUAAUGUACAUACUCGUAUUGUUUUUCUUAUUGCGUGUAUGGAUGGAAAUAAUUGCUCUCUCUCUCUCUCUCUCUCUCUCUCUCUCUCUCUCUCUCUCUCUCUCUCUCUCUCUCUCUCUCUCUCUCUCUCUCUCAACAGUGAUAAACCAUAAAGAUAUAAAGAUGAUAACCAUGAUGACCAAUAAUAAUAAUAUUAUUAUAAUAAUUGUUAAUAACUUUCAAUAACCUUUUGUUGAAGUAAACAAACAAACAAACAUACAAGAUGGUCAUCUCGUUUUUUUUAUUACGGUCGCAAAAGUACAAAAUGAGCACCCCCUCCCCUCCCCCCGCCCUGCUGGGGAGGGAUGGGGAGGGGACCGGGCCCACGACCAGGAACAAGUGGAUAUGGUAUGUAUUAAAGCCUAUAUAAAUGGCUGUCUUUCAACGCGCGCGCGCGCACACACACACACACACACACACACACACACACACACACACACACACACACACACACACACACACUGGCCUUGUGCACACACCUCAUUACCUCAUUAAUGUCUUGUGCACAGGGCUGUGUACGCUCAGUUUACACUAGGUGUGUCUGAACACACACACACACACACACACACAAA